GUGAGGAAACCCGACACAGAGUCCGGAAAAGGCAGCAUGGAAUCCCUCCCUCAGGCCUGCCUGGACGGUGUUGGUUAAGAUCAAGAUGAACACACUGCAGAUGAGGACACGAGCCCCACAGGAGCUCUUUCUCCCGCAGGAGACCAGCAGACCCACGUCAGAGAGGAUGCUUGUAUCUUUUCAUGGCUCUUCUCUGAGAAAUGAAGCCACACCACAAUACGGUCUGGAAGAGGAAGCUGGGAAUGGGAGAUGGAAACAAUCCCUGUCAAUGGAACGCUGGCCUC
rnacentral:lncRNA from 10 species